GGCCCCAGCCCGGUCAGACCGGUCUGUGACACAGGUCCCACCGAGACCCCUUGGGGUGUCUGCUGGGAGCCCCCCGAGCUCAGGGACCGUCUGAGGAGACUCCCCGGGACUGGGAGCCCUCACCUGCUCCUUGAUUCUUGGAAAACAAACUUGUUGGAGUGGAUCACGAUGCUGUCCCCAGCCCCUAAGCCGGCCCGGUGGCACCCCCACGAAGGAGGCGUCCCCCAGCACCACUGCGUUGUACCUCAGGCGUUUCAGCUCUGCCGGUGGAUGGAAAGCCCAGCCUUUGGAAUGCAGGGGAAGGAGGUUUUGCCUUCGAUCUCCCAUGUCAAGCAAGAAGGGAAGAUCUCGACAUGUUGCCCAACUUCACACCUGCUUUGAAAGGACCAGCAGGGAGGCUGGGGAGGUGACCCAACAAGUGUUGUCUGUGCUGGCCCUUGGUCCUAUGGAGGUCUGCCACCAUUUUAUCAGUAAAGGAGAUGCCUUCCAAUAGCAUUAUUGAUCUAUGAAACAAACUGGACUGCUUUUUGAAAAUGAAAGAGAUACCAAAGGGGUGACAAAACAUGUUUCGGUGAGGAAAGCAAGAUGACAAACUGCUUUUACUGUGGAGAGAGCAGGCCGGAGUUCAGAGUUGUGCACCUACCACCUCUAGAGAGGACGUGAAUUUGUGUCGCAGCAUUUGUGCAAUGAGCGAGGUUGCACCCCUGCCCCAAACGAAGAAACAAAUCCCUGUGGGAUUACACCAAAACACAAGUUUGGGGUUCAGCGCCCUUUGGAAAUGUGGCCCCUCUUGUGGGUCCUGCCCUCUGAAAUUCCAGCUAUAAAGUCUGCCUUUGGAAAUGUCUUUGUAGAAGCUGGUCAGGCCAUCCCUGUGUGCCGGCUGGGCAAGGUGACCACAGUGGUCCAGAGUCUCUCUGCCUUUCACCCAGGUGCUGAUUUAUCAGAAAACAUGUGCAAACUCAGUCUUGGAGACUUUGACCCGUGUCUCUCCCGUGGCUGGUCCCAGCAAACUGCACACAAACCUCUGUGGGGCGUGGAGACUCUCGGAGAGCAUGAUCACAGAAGACUUGUUUCUUUACAAAACUUAGCUAAAAAUAGGAAAUGAUGUAGAUUGUCAUGGCAGAAUUUCAAGUUCUAAAUAGUGUUUUCAAUCCUAGUUCCCUAAGGAGAAAAGGAUGGUGUGCUCAUAUGGGUCUGUGUCUAUGUGUGUGUUUAUCCAUCCAUAUUCACUCCCGCAUGCAAGUUUUUGAACCCCUGGGCCGAUUUCAACAGAAUAUGACAUUUUGAUAGUAGUCUUGGAGAUUGUAAAUCUCUAAAAUUGUGUGAAAAUAAGAAGCUUAAAAGAGAAAA